AGAACAAACAUUCGCACCUCAGUAUUAAAAAUAUAAUAUAGAUAUACUAUAUUUUUAAUACUGAGGUGCGAAUGUUUGUUCU
rnacentral:pre_miRNA from 1 species